CGACUCUCCCCUCGCAACUCCAGGACGCGCCUCCGCCCGCCGCCCUCGAGCCCGGAGCCCCGCGCGCCUGGCCCGCGCCCGGUCGGCGCACGCCGCCCCCGGGGGCCGGGAACUUACCGCACCGCUUGCACAGCACCCGGCUGACCUCCUUCUUCAGGUUCCGGCCCGUCUCGAGAGGAGGGAAAGAUGCUCGGAAGGCGGCCGGCGCGCGGCUGCUGCUGUUGGCAUCGGGCUCCAUGAAGAAGAUGUACCUGCUGUCCUCCUUGAGCCUCCCGCAGGAGGGGAAGGCGGGGUGGCCCCAGGCCCCCAGGCGCACGGUCCACUUGUUCUGCUCUUGAUUCCACACUGGAGCUGCACUCCGAGGGGGAUCCCCCAGCUGAACUUCUAGACCAGCUGGAGCCUCCUGAGCCCCCUGACGAAGAACCCCAGGCUGCAGGGCCAGCUCCAGCCCACGCUCAGGUCCCACCUGCAGAGCUCGUGCCAGUUCCACCGGCCGCUUCCUCACCAGCUCGAGCCCCACAGCAAGAGCCGGAACCUGGAUCCCCUUCUCCACCAGCUGCAGACCUGCAACUCCUGGAGGCUCCACAGCAGGGCUCAGCUCUUCAGCUCUACCUGUGGGCAACUCUUGACCCACACCUGCCAUUCCCCUCUCUUGUAGAUUUGCUUUGCAUUGUAUCUCUUGCUGUCCUUAUUAACCAGAGCUAUGUCAAUGAUA
rnacentral:lncRNA from 1 species